CAGACAUUGCAGGUGCAGAUGGUGCGAGUCCACGUUCCGACCCUCGUGAAGAGUUUACUGGACCAUGAGGUGAGGGAUGACCGGCAGCAGGCUACGUCUCUUGUCGGUUUCCUGGGAUUUCCUUCCUGAAAGAGUUUAAAAUAAGUUGUUAAGGGUGCAGACACUCCAAUGAUAAAAUGUUAUGAUUCCUGGCUUUCACCAGUUUCUUCUUCUUGAAGAACAAGACCCCAGUGCAUCAGGGCAGAUGCCAACAACUCUCUUCCAGAGGCAGUGCUGUCUCAUCAGUUUGGAGAGACAAAGAAAGUGUCCCCUGGGCAUACCUUGCUCAGAGUAGGUGCCCCACCACGUGCCCUGGAAGCCCAAGGUUUUGUAUCUCCAGCUCCUGGAACAAAGUUCAGCACAGAGCUAGGACUCUCUGAAUAUUUACUGAGUGAACGAACGCGCAAUUAUCCCUAAUUGAUAGCUGAGGAAACCAAGUCUCGGAGAGAUUGCAUACCUCACUGAAAAUGACAAGGCUGGAUGGUCAUGCAGGCAGGCUACAGGAAUGACAUACUGGGCUGAUUUCUCCGUGAGAGGGUAAUAUUUUGAAGUACAAGGAGUCUGAUUUGCAAGGUAGCGUGGGACUCUAAAAAUGACUGCCCCAAGUUGAAAACAUGCAAAACCACCUUAGUCAGUGCGUGGGGGAGGUUUGCAGGAUACCAUUAAUAUACUAAAAGCCACUGAAGUGUACACUUUAAAAAUGGUUAAGGUGGUGAAUUGUAUGUUAUGUGAACUUUGUCCCAAUAGAAAUUGUUUAAUGAACAAGUGAUAGAAAAAAAAAAAUCAGUGGGGAAAGUGUGAUUGUUCUAUGACCUUCAAAAUAUUAACAAUUUUCUUCUUGGUUAUAAUUACAUAGGGAAAUAAAAAAUAGUACAACUAACA